CCUAAUAAGUGUUUUGUUUUCUCGAAGACUUUCAAGCGACAUAUUUAUUCACAAAUAGCGAUAACCUACGCAAAGCCAUGUACAAGAUGCCUUACAUCUCGUCCAAUUUAACUCAUUUAGACUCUUCAAAAUUUUCAAUCUCACCUUUCAAAUACUCUUUCAAAAUCUUUGCUUCACCAAUGUUUACUUACAAUGUUUGUUGCUAUUUAAUUUUAAAUGUUUUCUCCCUUUCCUCUGCAGAAAUUUGAGCAAAUUUCGACGCUGCCAUUUUGUUCUGCUCCAGACAAUGUGACGUCAAUAUUCUAAGGGCAACUAAUCUAAUUCUAAAGACUUCUCCAAAUACUUUAAGAACUUACGGCAUGUAAUUUUAUGUAUAAAAUACUAUGAUAUGUCGAAAUGAGUAAGCAAACCGUCGACCAAUGACGGCCAUAUUGCCUUAUAUUAUUUCUCAGAGAACAAAUAUAGAGAUAUAUGAGGCAAUCACGUGCCAUGUUUAGACCUAUAAAAAUGCGACAUUUCAGUCCAAGGGAAAACAAAGAAUUUUAUGAUGUCUCGCUGUUCCGUGAGUUCAGCCGAAGUCUCUUUUUUGGCGUGUUUAAUUCUCUGCUCGUUUAAAAAAGCUUCAAAUGACGUAUAAAAAUAAAUUGUACAAUACUAAAAACAUUUUAUCAAAGAUUUUGAUGUUUUGACAUGUUUGUAAAAAGAAAAUAAUAUUCAUAUCUUAAAAUUUCAUGAAUAUUUCUUCAUACAAUAUUUACAGUACCGAUCAGACCAAACCUAACACCAGAGUAAACCCCAACUAAACCCUUGGUUUACUAUUAGGGUUAACUUUACUCUGUGUCUAUCUUUUGAAAAUUUGCGUCCACUUGGGCUUUAUUUUGGGUUUACUCGGGUUUACCUUGGGUUUACUCGAAAAAAAAAAUUGGGGUCAACUGUAUGCACUGAAGUGUAAAGAAGACCCGUCUUUUAUCUUACCAAUUUACUGCCUGUUAUUCCCGUCCCUUGUUUAUUCCAAAUACACAGGUAGCGUCUGCUUUCAGGGACAUCCUUCUGCUCUUGGUUUACUCUCUGUUUACACUGGGUUUACUAUGGUUCCACUCUAUUUAACCCGUAGUAAAUCAAGAGUAAACCCCAAAAGUAAACCCAGGUUUUAAUUGGGGUUUACUUUCUGUUAGGUUAGGUCUGAUUGGUACUGUUUAUAUAUAAACCCAUUUCAGAUGACAAUAACACGAUUGUCCAGGAACUUUUUGGACAGCCUAACUAUGCCCGAUUGUUGAAUAACUACAGAUUCCAUGCACUUUUUACUUUGUGACAUACGGUAUCAAAAUAUUAGGAAAUAAAACAUUGUCCUAGUAAACGAAAUCAUGAUUCAGCUAUGUUAAGGUUUUAAAUAAUUAAAACCUUUAACUGGCACAGGCUGUAACCACAAAAUAGAUUUCACAAUGCUUUACUCUUUAACACUAUUUUUUUUAACACACAAAAAUUCAUAUUGAGAAUUAAUUACCAAUCGACAUUCACAGGUUUUCAUUUCUAAAUAUCAUUCAUGUUUUUAAGAACCAGAUGAAUCUAGAACUAUGAUAUGUACUUUUAAACCGUUCAACACGUUCAACAACACGUCUUUAAACAGUCCUGUAUUUCAUAUUUCUGUGUUGAUUUUGACGAAUCUUAGUUUAAAGUCUGCAAAAACGUAUAAGAUAUCAUAGUGUGAUAACUAAAGCAAGGCAUUGCUGACAUCUAAACAGGUUUUCCACCUCUUUUUCUGUCCUGAUUUCGUUGAGGUUAUCUUUUGUUUUAUUUUGGGAGGGGGGGGGGCUGACGAUGCUGCUUCAAAUUGCACGAAAAUUUGACAAAUGUUUAGUCUGUCUCUUGUUCUUAAAUAGCAAGAAAAAAGUAUUCUUUGGUUUCUUAUUUUUUUUUUACAAUCAUCUAAAGAUUAAAGUGUUUUUUUCCCUUAACACCUAAAUUUUUUAGGACAAAAUUUUAUCUAAGUGUAUUCGGGUUUGUAAGGUAAUCGUAAAAAUAUUAACUACAAAUUGUUAUUUUUUUUUUCUUUGUCAGCUUAACGUAUUUCUAAAUUUUUGUAUCAUUGUUUGUUUUAUUUAUUAUUAAAAGGUGACAUUUCAUUUCUGUAUUAAGGCUACAGAAACAAUUUACUUUGGGCAGUUUAACUCAGGCAAAAUCUGCAGGUGGAAGUCACAUGACACAGAGGUAAUCGGAUGUGUUUUUCCAUGCACUUUGUUUUUGACUCUUUUUCUGAAUUUACUGCGUAAACCCGGAUACUUUUUGUGUGAAAAUUUUCAAGACUUAAUAUGUAUGUAUGUAACGUGUAUAUUCCACUUUUGAGUUUUUUGUAACUUAAAGUUUUGAAGUUAGACUUUAAUCCUAUUAUCUAUCAAGACACUUGUGUUUACAGAACUGAGUAAGCUCUGUCCUCAGUCUACUGUCAUAUGCAGAGCGUUAUAAAAAACGCUGUAGCGGCAGUCAAUACUAAAAAUACUGUAAGAAGAAACUAAGUAUAACUACAAUGUAAACGAUUAAACCAGUGUAUCUUAGAAUCUCUCAACUCUCAAUCUCUCAACUCCGCAAGACCACAAUAAUUGAAUUUCUGACUAUGCAUUGUCCUUUGCCGGGUAUUCAAGCACCUGUUCUAAAAUGUGUUCAGAAGGAUUGCGAUUUAUGAAGGCUAUACGAGAGCUCCCCAGAGUGUCACAGAAAACUUGUCUGUGAAGGUUUGGAAAUUAGAAACAUAAACAUAAGAAUGUAUGACACCAACGCCCUUUUGUGGGUUUAUCGACUACUGAUGAACAAGUCUUGAAAUAACAGUAAAGGGGGAACCUCUAUCAGCUGAUGACCAUAAAGUCUUGAAAAUGCUCAGCAAAUUCAAUCUUAGCUUUAACAGUCAUCUCAAAUAUGAAAAGACCCGACACCAAAAAAACCCCCACAUAAAACGACCGGCAUUUUGAAUGGAAACAUCAAAAGCUUUAAACGAAGGAACUCUCCUUCCCCGUACAAGUACAUGCGUGGGUCUGAAGUGUGUUUUCUAUCAUAAAGGACGGCCCUUAAUCAAACGCGCCCCUUACUGUACUUAAAUUUUUCCAGUGCUGGGAGGACUCCCCUUUAAAAAAACAAUGUCCUAACACCCCGAGAUGUAAGAUGUGCAAAGAAGGACACACUUAGGUAGAUCCAGCAUGCAAGCAUUUCACAGAACCUGCGGCAAAUGGUGUGCCCUUUUCCUGAGAAAAAAAUUGACUAUCAAAUUUCUUCUCAUGCGACAUUACCAUCUUCUGUCACAACGAUUUAUCGGCUGAACAAGCUUACCAAUAUGUGAAAGCUAUGAGAAGUGGUGAUGUACCGCGAGCAUCCGCCAUACAAUCGGCUAAAUCGGCUCUUGAAGUCUUAAGAAAUGAAUUACAAUAAUUGUGGUUAUAGGUGGGAGGCAGGUUAAUAAAAACAAAGUAUAAAGUGAAACAACAAAUAUCAGACCAACAAAACAGAAAAUUUUUAUAAACUAAUUUACACUUAUUCGCGUCUGAUGGUAAAGUUAUCCCUCUUUUUGAAAAAUUUGUACACAUAUAUCCCAAGUUUUUUUAGCGUAGAUAUAGAGUCAGAACUAAGUAAAUCAAUAAUUUAUUUUACCAUAGAAGUAUUUCUUAAUAUAAGAUUUUCUUUAAUCCGUGUAAAAAUCACAAGCCAAAACAAAAUGGUAUUCAUUUCCUUUCAUUAAUAGGACAUUCUUUAUCAUAUCGACCAGAUUCGAUUCGUAGACGAUGUGAAGAUAAUCUAAGUCGACUUUCCUAUGUUUAUCAUAAAAAUGUAAUUUAGAUAGUCUGCCGGGUGCAUAGGCAAGUUUAGAUAUUUAUAUAAACGUAAAGUGUGAGCAUUUUCAAAUUCUACCCGUAAAUUUUGGUGAAAACAAUUUGACAGUCUUUGCUCAAAAUAUAGAUAAAAAAUUUCUUCAUUUAUCGACUCAGGGUAAUGCCACACAAUGAGAUCAGCAUUAGUCCACGUCCUUUUCGCCGUUUUGCACUCUGCGUCAAACCACGGUGAGUCUUUGCGUCUUUUGAAUCUGGAUCCUCCCUGUCUUAUAUCUGUUACAGAUUCGCAGAAAGGUUCAGCAAUAUUUAGUUGUGUGUCUGAGAAUUGGAUUAGUAAAUCGUUUAUAGCUUCUUCUGUUGUGUGGUUCCUAUUAUUUACUAUGUUUUCGAACCUGUAAAUAUUUGUUCUCAAGUUCUGUAUGUAUUCGUUGCGGGUUGAUUCGUUCAACUUCCACUUUUCUAUGCUUACACAUUUUCCGUCUUCUCUGUGAUUAAUGUUAUAUCCAGUUUUGAUAUUACAUAUAUUUGGGUUGCGGUGUUUUUUCUACUCAAAUUUCCGACAGUUUUGAUAAUAUUCCUCCUCUGUCAACGUGUAGUCAAUUACGCCGCUUCCCAAAUGACAUAUGAAUUUACCAAUAUUCGCAUCUGAGUGGAGUCGUCCAUUAAUAAUUCUAAGUUUCAGAGAUUUGCUGAUAUCCAGUAGCAUUGUUACGAAUGAUUGUUUUUUACGUAAUCCUCGGAAUAACGCUUUAGUUCUUUAUCACAUAUAUAAAGAUUAUAGUCGUUCUCUGGUGCUAUAAAAUCGUCUAUAAAAUCGUCUAUAAUGUAGUCAGAUGCUACAGCCGUUCAAUGAUUUAAGUCACCCAUUAUAACAAUUUUCCUUAUGUUUGGAAUGUAGCUAUAUUGGGUUAAUUUAUCAAAGAUAUGUUCGUUGUUUGAAAUUACGCUGUAGAGGUCCUCGUCUAAUGAGAAAAACUCCUUGUCAAGCUUGAACCACAUAAUACCGUCAGAGUCUGAUAACACCAAUUGAAUGCCUUUAUGGAGUGCAUCUUUCAUGAAUACAACUAUUCCACCACUAAUCCAGUGCCUUUUUAUGUUUAAACGGUCGGGUUUAUGGUACAUUACGUAAUUGUUCAUUUCAAUUUUGCUGUCAUUGUUUGUCCAGGUUUCUUGUAAACAUAGUUAUGCCAAUAUUAUUUGAUACAAAAAAUGUACUAAAUUCUUUAUUUUCCAUUUUUUGUGGUGGCAUACCUUGAAUGUUCCAUGACAUAAUUUUGAUACUAUCACCGGCGUAACCCUAGUCAUCCCCAGUAACUCUAUGAUUUGUCCUCUGCUUUGUGUGUGUGUGUGUUUUUUUGUUUACUGAAUGUUUGUCACACCUCAUAAAGGCUGUUUUAUCCUCACGUUUGGCUCAAUGCAUUACAGGUACACGUUUCUUUCUCCUGUCGACUAUUUCCUUAGGGUACUGUUGCGUUCUUCCGUAUGUUGAAUCCUUUAGCUUGAAACUGUGUUUUGCACCAUUUCUCUUUGGAAUUAUAAUGUAGCAAUUAUUGGUCUCUUUUUCCCCACCCUCUCUUUCAUGUACUGUAUGUGUUUUCAAUUUUGACGAUUUGGAUUUCUAAGUUAUCCUCGCAAAAUGAAUUAACCGUUUCAAUACAAUCCUCUGUUCUUCCUAGUGGGGGUUCUUUAAUUCCAAAUAGAAUUAAAUUAUUUCUCAUUAGCUGACUUUUUACCCGAAAUUAUUUCCGAAUACACAGCUGCACUACUCUCAUCCAUUUCGCGUUCUUCCAUUUGUUCAGAAAGAACAUUAACAAUUGAAUCUAGGACCGUUGCUGUUCCUUUAACUGACUACACUUCCAUGUCCAAAAGAUUCAAUUUUGUUUGUUAGUAGUCGAAGCACUUUUCGUUUACAAGCUUAAAAAUAAUCAUUUUGUAUGUCUGGUGAUUUUAAAUUGUAAUACAAUACGAAAAAUUAACACUUAAUGCAAAUUACCUUUUCAUAACGAUGAAAUUCCAAUUAAAAAAAAACACACAAAAAUAUCUCUUUUUACGUAUUGUCUAAACAUCCAAUUUUGGAGAUCAAUAACUUUCUUAAAUGCAAAUAAACCUCUAUUUUGUGCAAAUACGAUCGAUAUUAAAUUAUAUCCGGGGUCUUUUAAAACAUGUAAGAGGUCUGCCAUCACAUGCUGCACUUUGCAAGGUGAUUUCUUGUAGACCCCACGUUUUCAUUUAAAAAAAAAAUCGCAACAUUUUGUAUAAGAGCGCAUGCGUUGACUCCGAAAAGGGCGUUCAAAAUGCUUGCAAAAAUUCACUUUCGUUGACUCCGUUUUCAAAGUCCGACUUCACUGUUUAACAUUAUUAUAGCACGCAAAACGUCUGCAUCUUAAUGUAGAUCUCGGCCGCACUAUAUCCAACAUAGUAAUUCUAAGAAGGUAACAACGUAGCAUCGUUUUUAUCAGUUUUUAAAGUCAAUGUUGUCACUGCACAAUCUUCUACACUUGGUUGCUUGCACGUGCGAUAUUAAAACAAUACGACAUAGGUGAGCAUUCUACAAUGAUUGAGGGAUUUUUCUUUUAAUUUGUGUGCCUGGAUUUCAGCCUGUUUGGCUUCGUCUUUCAUUGGAUAUUCCUUACCUGUGCAGUGGUGGUCAUAUUAUGUUUGAUAAAAGCGGAUUUUUUAAAAUCUGCCUAAUCUAAUGUAAGGUGUUCGGAUGAAUGACAUACACGAAUGCAGUGUGCUCUCGGCCUUAUAUAGAGGGUGUGUUGCGAAGAGCGUAACAACAGAAAUCGGCAACUUAUAUUGCGGUAGUCGUAUAUGAAAAGGAAAUUUAAAAAAAUGCGAAUUUAUGAAUUCAUAUAAGCUUUAAAAACAUUAACCAGGGAGUUUGUUUACCACAGGGUAUCUCGCCACAUGAUAUAUUUAAACACGAUGUGGGUUAGAAUCAAGAUUUAGCGUUUAUUAAAUGUUGAAAAACUAGAGCUCAUUUUAUGAUGAAGAACCUUACAGAUUACCAAAAAACCCGGAUGUUCUAUGAAUAAAUUUUGAUUGCUUUUAACUUGAUUACACGGUUUUUUUUAUUGUCCUCUUGUAUUUUUUAUAGUGGUCAUGAAGCGUGAUCAUAUGUACUUGACGGCUGAUAUUGAAUCACACAGCCUUGAACAAUUGUUUGGAUCAUUCACUGUCCAGAUAAAAAAUGGCUCACAUCGUUGAAGUUAUGCGACUUCAUCUUUAAAAAAAACUGAUAAAGCUUGAUGAAAAUUACUUUUGAAAAUAAAAUAUUUCAAAUUAAAUAUAAAGCUAUAACAUUGAAAACGUUUUCACCUCUAUCUUAUUUAAAGGAAAACCCGAAGGCACGUUUGUCGUCCAUUGACAAAUAUUUUCGAAAAUAUGGAAAUAACGUAUAUCAUCCCGCAAUAAGGUAUACAAUAUUCCCAUGCAGUGAAGUCCAAAUUUACCCCCGUGACCUGUAUUCCUAAAAAUCGACACAUGUUCUUCUACAGAGGAUUACUGACGACUCUAGGUUGCUAUGAAAGUGUUCAUUGGUUGAUUUAAAGAAAGGUUCAAAAGAUAUCGUCAGGAAAAAUGGAGUUCUUCAGAAAAAUUAGAAUGGUAUCACCACAAGGACCCUAUUGCCCAUCUGACACAGGAGGAAUCUCUGCCAUUCAGUCAAUUGAAAGGUGACUGAAAGGUAACUGAAAAGUGAGUGAAUGGCAUAUCUUUGCCAUUCAGUCACCUUCAGUCACCUUUCUAGACCAUUCAGUUAACAUUCAGUUGACUGAAUGGCAGAGCUUCAUCCUGUGUGACCGAUCUACGACUAUUACAGACGCUAGGGAAGCGGAAACUGUAUUUUAACUGAUUAAAUCAGUAAAUAGGGAAAGAAGCCAAAAAUUGGUUCGGUAAAUAACAAGUACAUGACUUGUAUACUAUUUUACAAAAGUGACUUCGUUCUACAUCAGUCCUUUAACAGCUUUGAUGUGAGAUGCUCUUAAUAUCAAAAAAUGGUCCUUUUAUGUUGAAUUUCCUUCAUUUUAUCACAUCGCAUCAUCUGUCCUUUUAUUAAAUGGAUCAAAAACCACAUUGGUAAAAAGUUGAUUUGACAGACAGAUAUUUUGAGUGUGAGUGAAUUUUAAUGAAAAAAAUGUGUUGAUAGAAUAUUUAAUAAGUGAAAUUGCGUAACUUAGAAAUGUGAAUCUUGUCCAUUUAAAGGUAUUUUUAACCUGUCUUAAUGAAAACGUAGACGACGAUUGGCGUCAACAAAUUAUUCAGAAUUAAACCUUUUAUAUUAAACAUAUGCCGUUUCUUAAAUACCCGCAAAAACUUAUUUUUGUAUUUAACAAAAAUGUCUUUAAUAUGGUAAAAUGUCGGUGAAAUGUAUAUUAUAAGUCAUGCAAUUUCAUUAAUCAAUAUUUUUCAACACAUUUUUACAUUGAAUUUCAUUAACACAUCUGUCUGUCUGAAUGACUAAUUUCUGUCUGUGGAAUCGACUCAUUACUCCUAUGGUUUUAAAUGAAAGAUGUUCAACACCAUUUCAGUAUAAGCCAUAAAGUCUGGUUAACCAUUCAUAAAUUACACAUUAGUUGUUAAUUAAACAGUUAUAUAAAAUAAAACGAUACAUGUAGCAUGGCUCUUGUGUAUGAUUAUGCAAAAUAAGGUUCGCAUGUGAGUUAAGGCUGCAUAUGGGAAAUGUCCUGCAAAUGAGCUGCUAAAAAUGAAUAUCCAUACUGUUGUAUUUUACUGACUUUAUCCUAUGCCUUGAUAAGAUGAUCCAUCUAAGGUAAAAGAGUCUUUAUGACGUCAUGUUAUGACGUCAUUAUCUAUUACAACUCAAAGAAGAAAACGACAAGAGAUAAACAACUAUGGCAUAAGGGCAUACGCUACUUUAUUUUUAAAAAGUGUGGAUUAAUACAACGCAUUUAAUCUAAACAUUGAUGGCAUAAUUGCACAAAUGUCUGCUAUUUAAUUGGUAAGAUUUUAUUCAGAAAUGCAGGAAAAAUAUAGAGGCCGGUUAUAUGUUUGUCUCAUUUCUAAUUAAAUAGAUAUUUGUUUAGGAUUUGUGCAGUGAUUUUAUUAUUCACAUUACUUUCCAUGAUACUGAAUAUUGAUUUGUUUGUGAAUUUGUAUUGCAUGCCCUUGUGCCAAGCUGAUUUCUUACAACUUUUACAUUCAAUGAAGACCCUUUCUUUUUACGUCACCAGGUUGCGUAUUUGAACGAAGGUCCAUUUAUGCAAAAUUCAACAAUAUGCAUAUGUGUAAAUAAUUUCCAAACGUAAAACGCGAAUUUACUGAAGAUAAAUGAUAAAACACAUAAUUUCAAAAUGACUCGUUUUUUCAUCACGUUUUACAUGCAUAUAUUUGUAGGAUGCCUUAACUCAUCCAAGUUUUAUACAUCUGAAUUUUAUCUAACUAAACCAGAUUUUCAAACGCUAGUGAAAAUCAUAAGUUUAUAACGUGCAUAGAUUAAAUCAUGUAGUCCAUUACUGAGCAAAUUAACAAAUUUUUGUACAUGUAGCGGA